AAGGUUUGAUCCACUAAUUGGGAAGGAGCCAUACUCUUUUCAAUAAAUGUGAUCGGUUCUUUGAUGUGGUCACGGUUUUGCUGUCCUCGAACAGGGGACUGACUUUAUGUACAAUCUGACAGGAUGUUUUUGUAAACAGAUGUUGCUGCCCAAAGCGCCACAAGGCACGAUAGGGGAACGUUUCACAUUGUCUUUUUAGCUUUUCAGCCUCUUAGUAUGAACUCGGACUGUAAGUAAGCUAGCUUGAUAAAGGUGACAUGAUUAUUCGUUUUUGCUUGGACAUUCAUGUGCUCAGCUUAUUAGACUGUUGUCGGGUCUUCAGAUGUUUUGCAUCUUUCUGGAUCUCAUGUUGAUGCUUCCCUCCCCUCCCCAGACUCCAUGCAGCAGUACCUACUCCAGUUACGACAGGAGACCGGCAUGAGGCUGUGUGAGAAGGUCUUUGACCCCAACACUGACCAGCCCAGUAAGUGGUGGAUGUGUUUUGUCAAGAGGAAGUUCAUGGACAAGAGUCUGUCUGCACCUGGCAUGUAAGCUUCAGCCAAGAACCAAGAAUUUUCAUCAAUUUCUCAGAAAAAAAGAUGUUUCUUAGAAAAAAAUAUCUUCCUUUCUUUGUACAAUGUACCAAUAAGGCCACAUUGACAUGACUAUUAUAGUAUAUAGAUGACACCUCUUGCAUCACUUUUCAGAAAGUGAGGAAAGAGUGCACAAAGUGAGACAAGACAGGUGUAUGCAUUUUUAUAGUUUAUUGUUUUCAAUAAAACAUGUUUCAAAUGAUUGACACAUUUUAUAUAUUGGUAUACGUUUAGCAGUUGAAUGGAAAUUAUUUGACAUAAUUAAUUUCAAAGACAGUAAGUGCAUACAUACACCAUGCAUACAAAAUGAUACUUUCUCAUUUAUAUCAAGGAUUUGAAUUCAAUAAACGCUGUCCACAUCAGUUUUCUACAACUUUCUUAAUAAGAUUUUGUUCCAAUAUAUGCUGCUUUUCUUCAUUUUUCCAUAGUGCUGUUAGAUUAUUAUUUGUAUCUAGGGCAAAGUUAUCAAGGGUUAUACCCGCAGUUUAACUAUGUACAGCCUCAUUACUCUAACGGGUACCUACUGGCUGUCUCUCAAGGUGAAUUAUAUACUAGUAUACAAACUGUGUAACUAUGGCACAAACCUUUACAUAGUCCUAUAUCUUCAUACAAAAUCAAUAUGCAUACUAGUUUACAGGUUUUAUUCCAGUAUCAUAAAACAUAUGGUGAUGACUCAUAGUGAAAGAGGUAAAAUUUGCGGAUAAUAUUUUGAUUCCAAAAUGAUGCAUGUCUGAUGACAUUUGAUGCCUAUGUCAAUAAAUAUACCAUUUACAACGACAAGAA